ensembl:lncRNA
CGAGGAAACCCUAGCCCACUGGGGUGUCCUCAACCAGGGGAAUGGCCGUGUAUUCCAGUACAGCCAGUUCCUGGUCCCCGGGACUCCUGACCUUGCUGUGUCAUCGCGGGAAAUCGGUCAACCAUUUACGCGACGGCGUUCGCAUGGAGCCGUGGCCGACCAAUGGCGUGCGGCAAAGGCGUUCGGCUCUCCGCGGGCCCUUGUGUUCGCGCUGAGAGGGACACCACAGGAGACCAGACGGCUCAUUAAUUUCAGGGCGACCAGGGACAAUGAGUACCUAAAAUCUAAAAUGAUCGCCAGAAAACAGUGGGAGAUUUUUCUGGAAGAAAUGGGGUGGAGGGGAAAGUGACCAGGCAACAGGCUUCUAAGAAGUGGGAGAACCUUAAAAAGAAGUACAAGGCCCGCUCUAUUACAGAACGCAUCUUGGAUUGGCGGUAAUUAAAGCACUGCUGCACCCGCCCAAUCACCGGCUCUUUAUAGGGAGUCAACAGACAUACGGGCGUCUGGAGGCAGGGGUACCCACCAUCACCUAAAAGCAUGUAACCCGGCGGUGGAUACCUGGCAGUCAAAUAAAAAUAACUGUUUUUCAUUACCCUUGUCCUUUAUGUUUCUUGGACGGAAUGUAACUGAUAAUUUCGUUGCUCUGUAACAUGUGCAAUGACAACAAAUAAAAUCCUAUCCUAU